AGCUGACCGGGACACGUUAACGCGCCGCGGACGUUAGCUUUUCCUCAUUCUGCGACGAGGAGCUGGCGCAGCAACAACUUACUGAUGUCCUGUCUGCUCAUUUGACUGUUUUAACAGACUUCCAGAACAAGUCAGAGACCUGUCAUCUGCAGAAAGACUCAAGACGACUCUGCAGUCGUCGGGUUUAUGAGGGAUGGUCAAGAGUACAGAGAGCUGGUGGACCACUUUGUGGCGUGGUGUGGGGACACUCACAUAAUCUUGAAUGUGAACAAAACAAAUGAGAUGAUUUAGAAAGAAACGGGAAUAGCUCAACAUGCAUUAUUGGGGAGAAGGGGGAGGUGGUGGAAGAUUACAAAUACCUCAGUGUUCAUCUGGACAACAGACUGGACUGGAGACACAAGCGUGAAGCCAUCUCCAAGAAGGGACAGAGUGGACUGUAUAUCUUGAAUAAUAUUUUAGAUCCUUCAAGGUCUGCAGCAAGAGGCUGCAGACCUUUUACAGGUCUGUUGAGAUCUCUGGGCCACCAGCUGUUAACGCAGCAGCAUCAGAGCCUGCAGGGACCUAAAAAGGCUCAACAACCUGGCAAAAAAAGCUGGUUCUGUUCUGGAGAUGACUGAGAACCACUGGAGAUGAUGGUGCAAGAAGGACUUUUUAUAAAAUCAACAUUAUAGACAACACUGAGCAUCCUCUUCAUGCAACAAGCAUCUUCUUCAGAGCUGCUGUAACACAGCAGAUCCUUCCUGCCCACAGCCUUCAGAGAUUUCCAACUGAGCUCAUUAUUACUAGUAUUUAUUUUAAUGACUGCUUUGAAGAAUUAGUUAAGACACAUCUUAACUUCCUUCUGGGAUUAAUAAAGUCAUUUUGGACUUUAAACAGAGAACCCUAGUUCUGUGGAGUCGGUGAAGAAACCCAAUAAUGAACCGGUGACACUGCUGAACUCAAACAUGUUUGUGAUGUUCUCUAACGUGUAAUAAAUGUGGCUUGUAUAAAAUCCACUCCACCGCCUGCUGCUCAGCAGCAGAGUUUCUCCUCACGUGUGACAAGAGGUUUUCGCUCCACGUUUGCUGGCUGUUUACCUGUGAACCACACCUGGUUUGUUGUUGGGAUUUUUGUCCUGUCACUAUUUCUAACCUCCUUCGUCCUCAGUGGUUUAUUAAUUUCCUCACCCAAGCUCCUGUUUUCCUGUAAACUCCUCCAAAGAUGUGCUAUCUACACCUGAAAAGGACGGGAGAUUGGAUGCGUCGAGGAGCUGAGGGACCAAGCUCUUUUCUUCUGUAAAUAAAUGAUCUGACAAGAAUACCAACAAUCUAAAUGUGUUAAACAACAACCUGCUGUACACAUGGUCAUGUAAAGAAAAGAACUUCACAAUAAAAGCUCACUGCAAGAAUUUAAA